AUGACGUGUAGCCGAUUUAACGU
rnacentral:snRNA from 1 species